rnacentral:rRNA from 1 species
UAGUCCACACCGUAAACGAUGAGAGCUAGUUGUCGGCAUGUAUACAUGUCGGUGACGCAGCUAACGCAUUAAGCUCUCCGCCUGGGGAGUACGGCCGCAAGGUUAAAACUCAAAGAAAUUGACGGGGGCCCGCACAAGCGGUGGAGCAUGUGGUUUAAUUCGACGCAACGCGCAGAACCUUACCUACGCUUGACAUGCCCUGUUUGGUUACCAGAGAUGGUAUCCUUCAUUUCGGCUGGAUAGGAUACAGGUGCUGCAUGGCUGUCGUCAGCUCGUGUCGUGAGAUGUUCGGUUAAGUCCGGCAACGAGCGCAACCCACGUCCCUAGUUGCCAUCAUUCAGUUGGGCACUCUAUGGAAACCGCCGGUGAUAAGCCGGAGGAAGGUGUGGGAUGACGUCAAGUCCUCAUGGCCCUUACGGGGUUGGGGCUACACACGUGCUACAAUGGCAGUGACAAUGGGGUUAAUCCCCAAAAACUGUACUCAGUUCGGGAUUGGGGGUCUGCAAC